UACGUAGGGGGCAAGCGUUGUCCGGAAUCAUUGGGCGUAAAGCGCGCGUAGGCGGCCCGGUAAGUCCGUUGUGAAAGUCAAAGGCUCAACCUUUGAAUGCCGACGGAUACUGCCGGGCUAGAGUCCGGAAGAGGCGAGUGGAAUUCCUGGUGUAGCGGUGGAAUGCGCAGAUAUCAGGAAGAACACCAACGGCGAAGGCAGCUCGCUAGGACGGUACUGACGCUGAGACGCGAAAGCGUGGGGAGCGAACAGG
rnacentral:rRNA from 1 species